ACAUGCUUACAACAUAGUGUUAAUGCAUCAAAUGCCAUUAGAACUCCACAGUUAAGCGCGAUCGGGCUAGAGUAGUACAAGGAUGGGUGACCACCUGGGAAGUCCUAGUGUUUUACAUGCC
rnacentral:rRNA from 1 species